rnacentral:RNase_P_RNA from 1 species
UGAUUCAGGCAAGGCGAUUGCCGAUCGGGACAUGAGCUCGGUCGGAGGAAAGUCCGAACUCCGCGGAACGGGACGCCGGGUAACGCCCGGACGCCGAUCGGGAAACCGCUCGGCGAUGGAAAGCGCCACAGAAAAGACACCGCCCUUUGGCGCGGCUCGCCGCGUCGGGGGUAAGGGUGAAAAGGCGGGUUAAGAGCCCACCGCUCCGUCGGCGACGGCGGAGGUCCCGAUUCGGGAAACCCUAUCGGGAUCGGUCGUUCUCGGACGAUCGACAAGGCAAGCCCCGUUCGGAGCAAGACCAAGCGGAAAGCCGUCCCCUCAAGGGCGGGAGUUGUUCGCUCCCUCGGCUUUCGGGUGGGUCGCUAAAGUCGCCGGAGCAAUCCGACGACGAAGAUAAAUAAUCGCCGCGCCUCCGAGCGUUCCUCGCGAGGCGAACAGAAUUCGGCUUAUCGCCCGAAUCCAUCC